UACGUAGGGUGCAAGCGUUGUCCGGAAUUAUUGGGCGUAAAGAGCUCGUAGGCGGUCUGUCGCGUCGGCUGUGAAAACCCGGGGCUCAACCCCGGGCCUGCAGUCGAUACGGGCAGACUAGAGUGCGGUAGGGGAGACUGGAAUUCCUGGUGUAGCGGUGAAAUGCGCAGAUAUCAGGAGGAACACCGGUGGCGAAGGCGGCUCGCUGGGCCGGUCCUGACACUGAGGCGCGAAGGCGUGGGGAGCGAACGGG
rnacentral:rRNA from 1 species